UGCCAGCAGAGCUGCUCCGUGCUCUGCCCAGCCUGGAGCCUCCUCCGGCCUGGCUGCAGCAGCUCCAGCUCCUUGCUGGGCUGGCCCAGGGCUGGGGCAGCUCUGCAGGUGGGCUCUGGCUGAGGGGAGAGGGGCAGAAUCCCCCCUGCCCUGCUGCCCCCGCGGGGCUGGGCCCAGCACAGGCCUCUGGGCUCUGGGCUCGGCCAGCACAGCUUUGGGCCCCAGCACACACUGCCAGCUUAAUCUGAGGGUUUUUUUCCCCAGCAUAAAGAUUUACAAACCCUCCUAUCUAUCUCUAAGUCCGUCCCCUCAUUAGUUUGACAUUUGUGAGGUUCCCCUUUGGAUCACUCAGAGCUUCAAGUCCUGACCAUGCUCGCACAGAUACAAUAAUGUGUCAGCAACUGCGAGAAUCGAGCAACAGAAACCUUCUGCAAAGGGUGAAAUUCACACCAAAUGCUCUGGCAGCUCUUUCCAGAGGAUUAGCUUCCCCACAGAGCCACAGGUCCUGCAGCAGCCAGGAUUCCUGUGGAGAAGCAGGUGUGGCAGAAUCUCUCCUCAAGUAUAUUUCAAGACCAUAGUCAGUAAGGAACAGCUCAGAAGAGAUCACUGAGAGGAUCCCAGUUCAACUUUUUAAAAAUUAACAGCCAUUGCACAAAAGAAAUGGAACAGCUGCACCACUCUUCCAUCCUUAAUUUCUGUCUGAAAAGUUUUGAACACAGUUGACUUCUGCCUUUGAUACAGCACAAAUGGAAUCCCUGGAGCUGAAGACCUUUGGACUGUUGCAGGGCUGAAAUAUGAACCCAUAUCAAAUCCACAGCUUGAGCUCAUUUCUUGGGGGUACUGAUGAGGUCCACACAUGAAACCUUGCUCAUGUUUCCUGUCACUCUUUGCUUAUGUCCUUGGCAUUCAUUCACCCAUCACCUUUCCAGGUGGGAUUUUGCAUAUUCAGGCCUCCCAGUACAAAUCCUGCCCUGAGAUGCUCCAGAAGGAAAAUCCAAAUGUGACCCUGCAUUAAAAAAGAAAAAAAAAAAAAAAAAAAAAAAAAAUCAGUGUCAUUUGAACCUCCCAUUGAAAUGCAAGGUUCAGAUAUUGAACAUUGCAGCCACUCUGGGCCUGCUCUUAAAUCUUCACAGGAGAGGUCCUGAGCUCUUGGAGGGGAACAUUUUUAUGCACAGCAGGAAUGGGAGCAUCUUUAACCAAACUGGAACCAAAAUCAGGGCAAGCAGAGGGCAGAUGUCCCCAGCUCCCAAUUCACUGUUCAUGGCAGAAAACUUAAAUUUUUGUUCUCCAAAACAGCACAACAAUAAGUGUUAAAAAACCCAUGCAUCUGGAACAUAAUAAUAUAUGGAUUAUCCCAUAUGUUUUACGUUUUAAACACUUCCUACCUCUUUUUCUAAAAAAGAGAGUGUAUUUUCAACCCUAAAGUAUGUUACUGAUAUUAAAAAAAACACAAAAAACCCCCAACAAAGACAUACAAACAAACAAAUUUUAGAAAGCUUGUGAGGCUGUUUUUCCCUCCAGUAAUGCAGUUAUGCAACAUCAACCCGAGGAAAAGUUGUCAAAGGGAAUGACAGAAAACAAAUAAUCUCUGGACCCCAGGGAAAUGCAAGAAAUUUUAACACCAAAUGACAGGAUUUCUUAUUUUCUUCAUUAAAGAAAACUUCCCCUUAUAAUACUACAAAAACCAACCUUUACCUAGAAAUAUCUAUUCACUGAGUAUCACUCAAAACUCAAAAAUGGUUUUAUCUCAGCACUUUUUAAAAGACAAGCAAGCAUGGGUUUCUGGAGGUUUGCAUGCAAAUUUAUUUCUUUGGUUUUAGGAUCACAGGAAAAACACUGGAAUAUUUUAAUUUUUUUCCUAGUAUGUGGGGAAAAAAGGGAGUCUCUCCUCCUGUAGUGGGUAGAUAGCAAGCAAAGAACUGGAAUAUUUCCAGGUACCAUCUCUUGCGAAAUAUGAAUUGCAGUUGUUUUUCAGGCAGCUCUCCUGUGGCAAAAGUGCCUAUAAGUUUGAACAUAAGAAGUCAUUACAGGAAAUUCCCAUUUUCUCUGCCCAAAUAUUUGAUUUGCUUUACCUAAGCACAGGCUGCUGUACAAGAAGGGGUUUGUGGAGCUAAAACCCAUCACAGACAGGAAAACUGGCUGGAACUUUGAGGUUUCUUUGCAUCUCCUCAUGGCUGAAUUCUUUUUUGUCAAUAAAUGCAGUCUCAGUUAUA